CGCAAGGGCACUGGAGCAAGCCUGCUCCCAAAGCCAAAAUGCAGCGGGGGCGAAGCGGGCAGCGAGGCCGGGGGCGGCGGGGACCCGGCGCGUUCGGGGGCCUGGGCACCGAAAUCCCGAGGAAACCGCUGCGCCAGAGCACGCGCCUCUGCCGGAGCUAAAAUGCCUCAAAAGGGCAGGCUGGUUUCUCUGGAAGCUGCGUCUGAAAGCAACCGGAGGAAAAAUCGUUCCGACACCGGCAGCAGGUCCCGCUGCGCUCGUGCCAGCGACAGCACUGUGAUUUUCCAGUUCAAACGGGCUUUUCUUUCGUUACUGCCGUAAGCGCUGUCUUCCGUGCAGUACCGUACAGCGACAGGACUUCGGACCGUCUUCAAAACGGGAAAAGCGAGAAUCGGAGCAAGGCACCUAGGGAGAACAUGUCUUUGUGUUGCAAAAACCUUCAGUACUGUUCAGCGCAUAUCUGCAGGCAUCUCCUGAUCGCAGGCAGGAUCGGGAAUGUGAGUGCUGCCAUCUCCCAAGUACGCCCAUCCUCUGGCCAGCUAGGCAGAUUCGCAGAAUUGGGUAAAUUCCAAUUUAUUGGCCAAGAUUGCAAUUCCAGCUGCCUAACCAAACCAAUCUAUCAAAACCUCUAGAACCUCUCUGCCACUACCUCCUUAUGCUCUUCUCGAUCCCAUGCAAGCACCAGUAAUUUACUUUCACUGUAUUUAUUCUUAUAACACUCUAGGGAGGCAGUGAAUUACUAUUAACUUCCUUUUUUAUUCAUCUAGAGGGCUUGUAGCAGGAGGGACCCACAGAGGCACGUUGGUACCCAGCUCCCACCGAGUCCUGUGGGAGGCAGAGCCCUAAUUACCUCUGCUCGUCCCGGGAAACGAGAUUUGCCCGAGGUAGCAGUGCGCGUCUGUGCCCAUAAGGGAAUAGAGCUCAUGUGAAAAUCCAGAACGGAAAACCUUCUCUGCUUAAGAAGUGUGCUGGGACAUGGUAGCUGUCCUAGGGAAGAGUCACAGCCUGGUUUCGUUAAAAAGCUCACAGCUCGCUUGUAUGCCCCCCAGGUGGGCAGUCCCUGCCCUAAACUGCUCCUUUCUUUCCCAUUUCCCCUACCUGAGCGUACUGAAUCCAUAUUGCCACCUCAUGGCAACUGCUGGUUGCUCAGAAGAUUGCUCGUGGCCCACCAGACACCACGUCCAGGUUGCCUGUGUGACGGCACUGCCAGCCCCAGUCUCAGCCCACAGCAGUGGGUCUCGGUGGUGGGAUGCUCAGUGAAAUGGUGCCGACAGUCCCAGUCUGGAGCCUGGCAUCAGCGUCCGGGACAGGCCGACCGGCUCGCGGGGACGGGGCUGUCCCCUGAGGCUGCUUCCCAGCCGUGGAGCUCAGCAACUGUGCUGACCCUGUGGUCCGUCUCAGAACGACUAAGAGCGUAACUUCCCCAACUGCUGUACAGCACAACGAGCGCUGGAGGAGCAACUUCAAAAACACCGACUGUAACUUCUUCCCAGAGAGGCCGGAGAAGUGCAGGCCACUGCUCCUCUGGACAUGGGUUUCUAAGUACUUCCUGGACUUGGAAAGCAAACCUAUAAUUCCCAAUAGCAACAGGAUCUUGUUACCCUACCUCUGUUUUCCAUAUUCAAUAGAUGGCAGCAGGACGUCACUCUCCCGAGCACCAGCCCAGCGCAGGAGUGGAUGACUGGCGUCGCUAGUGCUCUGGGCUCUGGAAGGAACCCGCUUAUCUGGGGGAAGAUCUACCUGCUAUCAAACCUGCUAGUGUCUUUCCUGAUACCACUGAGAGCUCUUUGCAGUGCCCUUUUGACCUUACAGUCUAAAAAAAAGAGAUCUAUCGGUGGAGAGGAUGAGGGCAUCGGCUCUCGAGCCCUCGUCCAGCAGGGUGUGCCACCUCUUGAUCAGCCAAGAGCGACCAGCCGGCUUCCGUAGAUAGGGCACUCGCACCGGGGGGCACUGGUACAGGUUGGCAAGGUGGAUGGGGAAGAGAAAUCACCUUCAGCCAGGCCGGCAAGGGCCUGCACCCCAAGCCGCUGCAGAGCGAGCUGGAUGUGCUCUCUGCACCCACAUCUCAACCUCAGCGUGGAGCGGCGAGGAGGAGCUCGGCGUCUGCUCCUCCAGCGCGGCGGCCAGCGCAGCUCGACGGUCAUGACUCUGAGCUGGGCUUAGGGACAGUUGGUUCCUGCCUGCGCCUUCCUGCAGGGCUCUGCCACUCUCUGCCGUGCUUCCCCGGGGGAAGGCGUCAGUCCGGCUGGCUGCCUGCACGGGAGUUUAGGGAUCCCCAGCCCCACAGAAAUUCAUAGCGUGUGUCUUGGCCUCAUGUUUUACUUUUCUGCUUGUAGACAGAGCAGUGGGGCUAGCUGUGAAACUCUUUUUUUCCUGUUCUGGCUAGAGGAGUCAAGUAAUAUCACAUAAAACAGAUGCUCUGUUCAAAUAGGAAGGGAAUUACCACCACCCGCGUCCACCAGAGGAUACAUCUAAAAACACGCCACCCAUAACAAACACACGGACCUGGUCCUUUUAUCAGCAUUUAUUCAGCAGCCUGUGGAGACCGGCUGCCUUUCUGGAGUCCUUUCCAGGCGGGUAACACCCAGUUCUGAAACUGCCCUGUACUGGGAUCUGGCUUGACUUUUGUGAACCGGCAUCUGCGAGCUGGAAGGGGUCUGUACUGGUAAGGAAAACAGUCCCGCACGGCGGGCGGCCACCACAUCCAUCUACCAGCAACCUGCCUAAUACGCCCAACUCCCCAUUUUUUUUUCUUUUUAAUCUAUCCCUGUCCCUAUUUACCCAUACGAUUUGCAAACACAAACCUGGAAGUUCCCUAGGGGACGGGAUGAAAAACGGAUUAUUCUAGUUGGAGCGGGUCUAGAAAACAGAGCGAUUGUAUCUCUACGUCAAAACCAGAUUUUAACCAGCCACCCUCUACUGCAGAAGGCUUGCCGGGCGCGCGGUGCUCUCCCAGCGGCAGGACGGGCCGAGGAGGUUGACGCGCAGGUUGACGAAGACAGCAGAGCCGAUCCGAGAAAGAAAACCCAGAGACGGACAGCCGGGGCUGCUGGCUUUUCUCCUUCCCGCAGUCCGCUGCCCCGGGCGACGUGCUGCGCGGCAGCAGCUCUUCGCUGCCGGGCGGGCGCCUGGCGUGCCUCGGGGCCGACGCCGGGCCCUCCAGCGAGGAGCUCCUCACCACCGCUUCGGUAAAUACUUUUUGCAGCGGUGCAGUAGCGUCUCCAAGAGCAGCGCUGUUACUUCGUAGCCGUCUCCAACAACAACUCGGAGAGAGCAGCCACAAGACGCGUUAGCAAGAAGCUGCUGCCACUGACCAAAACUUCAGAGAGGCAGGAGCAGAAGUGGGGAGAGAGCAGAAACGGGGACGGAGGCACUGGCCGGAGAGGCUGGCCGCAGCGGGAGUCCGCGGUCGGGUCGGCCGGACCCGCGCGCCCCUUUCGGACGCUUCCCCGGAUUUCUUGCAACCUCAAAAUAGGGAUGUGGAAAUCGUUAGGGAAGGAGAGACUCCUCUCUUCUCGGCUUUGAAAGCAGACCAAAGCUAGCCGGAGGCAAUCGUUACUUAGUACCAAAACUACAUCUCUUGGUUUUGGUUUUUUGUUUUUUUUUUUUUUUUUUCCUGUUGAAACUGUACUUUGAGUAACUGCUGCUGGCCGGCGCCAGGACCUCCAGGGCUUGCUGAUGCAGAGGUAAGCGAGGAAGGAAGGCAGGGUUAGGGAGGAGAGGCGCUGACCCUGAAGCCAGCGGCUCUGCUCGAAUACACGCCGGGCCGCGGAGCCGCACGACGGGAGGACGCAGCCGCAGCGCGGUCUCCGGCGGCGCGGGCCGGCGGGCGCUCUCCUCCGGAGCCGCCUGCGCCCUCUCUGCGGUCAUCGCGGCGGCUUUCCACGCUUCCGCCCGCACCGAUGAACCUGAACGCCUGCGCUGGUGCCAAAAGCCCGGGUCCAGCAGCCAAACCCUCGGAGGGUGUAAAGUGGCCGAGCGCCUGUCACCUCCGGUAGACAGCUCCCGGCCAAAACCUGACCGCUUAUUUACAUGCCCUGCUCUCUUCUGGGCCAUCAGCUGGGGCCGUGCCCAGCGACGCAGCCGAACCCUGUAAGCCGGCGCGGGCCGACGCGAGCCCACGGCGCGCUGCCGAACGGCCCUUUCCUCCGCAGGGCACGCAGGGUCGCCUCGGCCCGCCAGGCCCGAGGGUCGGCGCCGAGGAGACGGGACGGAGCAGCGGAGCAGGGAGCUGGUUAUACUCCUAUAUUGUUAUUGCAUUAACUCUCAGCUGCAGGCGGGGGCACCCCGGCAAGCCCGGCUCCGCGCGGCCAAGGCGAGCACGGCUGACACCGGCGUCACCCAGAGCCUCCGUGCUCGCCCUGCAAGCGUUAAAUGUGUCGGACUAAAGCAUGGCAUCGGCCAUCCCAGCACGAGUUAGCAGUACCAUCGUUAGACACACAGCAGACGUUUCUCUCGGAGUCGUAAAGCAAGGGUGGCAUUUUUAUUAGCUGAGGUUUCCUCCUCUUUUUUUUCCCCUUAUUUUUUACGGCCGUAUCCACAAACGCUGAGAGCUAGAGGGAAUUAUUUGUUACUUACAUGAAAGCAAGAAGCCAUCAGACCACAGUGCUGCAACCGCUCUCCGUAUCAUUAUUUUCUUCUUCUGGAUUUAUAUGAACCUCACGAUUAAACCUUAGCUAAUGCAGACGGCCUUACAACGCACGGAGCGCUAAUAGCUGCUAAGCAGCAUUAUUAAUUAUUGUAAUUACAGCAUGUAAAACAUCUUUUGAUUGCAUGGAAGACUGCAUUAAAGAUCGCACUCGUUCCUG